ensembl:snRNA LOC120102567 U6 spliceosomal RNA
GUGCUCCCUUCGGCAGCACAUAUACUAAAAUUGGAAUGAUACAGAGAAGAUUAGUAUGGCCCCUGGGCAAGGAUGACACACAAAUUCGUGAAGCGUUCCAUUUUUUU